rnacentral:misc_RNA from 1 species
AAGAGACGUUGCCCUUCGGGGUAUACCUCCCACCCUUUGUUUAUUAUACCUUUGUUGCUUUGGCGGGCCCGUCCUGGGACCACCGGCUUCUGCUGGUCAGUGCCCGCCAGAGGACCUAAAACUCUGUUUGUUAAUAUUGUCUGAGUACUAUAUAAUAGUUA